UGCAUGGCCGUCGUCAGUUCGUACUGUGAAGCAUCCUGUUAAGUCAGGCAACGAGCGAGACCCACGCCAACAGUUGCCAGCUCGUCCUCCGGGAUGGUGGGGACACUGUUGGGACCGCCUCUGCUAAAGAGAGGAAGGAAUGGGCAACGGUAGGUCAGCAUGCCCCGAAUUAUCUGGGCUACACGCGGGCUACAAUGGGUGGGACAAUGGGUAUCAACACCGAAAGGUGAAGGCAAUCUCUUAAACCUGUCCUUAGUUCGGAUUGUGGGCUGCAACUCGCCCACAUGAAGCUGGAAUCUGUAGUAAUCGCGUCUCAAAAUGGCGCGGUGAAUAUGUCCCUGCUCCUU
rnacentral:rRNA from 1 species